GACCUGGUGGUGAAAUGCAUCACAUUCACUUCUUAUAUCGUUUGACGUAAUUUUGUGUCGGUGGGAGUCCCCGGUUCGAGCCCGGGCCAGGUUG